rnacentral:lncRNA from 1 species
GUUGUAUCAAAAUAAUAAACUUAUCAUUAUCAAAAUAUCAUAUUAAUUAUUAAAAUUAUAAAAUAAUUUAUAUCAAGAAAAGUUAAUAUAUCUUUAUGUAUUUUAGAAACUUAAAAUUAAAAUUUGUUCAGAUUUGGGAUACAUUUAAAAUUCUUUCUUAUGAAAUUGGAAUUUGCCCCGUUGAUACUCGCUAUUCUAUACUGCCAGAGGGGUGCUUGUUUAUUGCUCACUUAUUCUUAAAUUUUGUUACAGGCAGAUUGAAGGCCAUUAAAUUACAUCUGGUCCUAAUUCC